rnacentral:rRNA from 1 species
UACGGAGGGUGCAAGCGUUAAUCGGAAUUACUGGGCGUAAAGCGUGCGCAGGCGGUUUGUUAAGUCCGUUGUGAAAGCCCCGAGCUCAACUUGGGAAUUGCAGUGGAUACUGGCAGGCUGGAGUACGGUAGAGGAAGGUGGAAUUCCCGGUGUAGCAGUGAAAUGCGCAGAUAUCAGGAGGAACACCGGUGGCGAAGGCGGGUCUCUGGGCCGAUAUUGACGCUGAGGAGCGAAAGCGUGGGGAGCGAACAGG